rnacentral:tRNA from 1 species
GGAAGGGUAGCUUAUGAGGUCUGAGCGGCGGUCUGAAAAACCGUAGGGUGGAGGUUCGAUACCUCUCCCUUCCACCA